rnacentral:rRNA from 2 species
GGAUCAGCACGCCGCGGUGAAUACGUUCCCGGGCCUUGUACACACCGCCCGUCACACCACGAGAGUUUGUAACACCCGAAGUCGGUGAGGUAACCUUUUGGAGCCAGCCGCCUAAGGUGGGACAGAUGAUUGGGGUGAAGUCGUAACAAGGUAGCCGUAUCGGAAGGUGCGGCUGGAUCACCUCCUUU